CCUGCCUGAAAAGAUGUGUUUUUAAGGUACAUUUGAUGAGAGUAGGUGCAGCUCAAGAAAAGUCUUGAAGAUGGGAGUGAGAGGUACGAAUUAUGGAGGAUGUUAAUCUUAGAUCACUAACAGAGCGAAGAGCACAUGUAGGGUGGUAGACGGAAAUGAGGGAGGAGAUGUAUGGAGGUGCAGCACUGUGGAGAGCUUUGUGGUGAGGGUGAGAAGUUUGAACU